CUACGGGCGGCAGCAGUGGGGAAUAUUGCACAAUGGAGGAAACUCUGAUGCAGCAACGCCGCGUGGAGGAUGACACUUUUCGGAGCGUAAACUCCUUUUAUAUAGGAAGAAGAUGACGGUACUAUAUGAAUAAGCGCCGGCUAACUCCGUGCCGAGCAGCCGCGGUAAUACGGAGGGCGCAAGCGUUACUCGGAAUCACUGGGCGUAAAGAGCGUGUAGGCGGAUUAAAAAGUCAGAAGUGAAAUCCUAUAGCUUAACUAUAGAACUGCUUCUGAAACUCUUAAUCUAGAAUAUGGGAGAGGUAGAUGGAAUUUCUGGUGUAGGGGUAAAAUCCGUAGAGAUCAGAAGGAAUACCGAUUGCGAAGGCGAUCUACUAGAACAUUAUUGACGCUGAGACGCGAAAGCGUGGGGAGCAAACAGGAUUAGAUACCCUUGUAGUC
rnacentral:rRNA from 1 species